UACGGGGGGGGGCAAGCGUUUGUUCGGAAUUACUGGGCGUAAAGGGCUCGUAGGCGGCCAACUAAGUCGGAUGUGAAAUCCCCAGGCUUAACCUGGGAACUGCAUCCGAUACUGGAUGGCUUGAAUCCGGGAGAGGGAUGCAGAAUUCCAGGUGUAGCGGUGAAAUGCGUAGAUAUCUGGAGGAACACCGGUGGCGAAGGCGGCAUCCUGGACCAAUAUUGACGCUGAGGAGCGAAAGCCAGGGGAGCAAACGGG
rnacentral:rRNA from 1 species